rnacentral:rRNA from 1 species
GGAAGUAAAAGUCGUAACAAGGUUUCCGUAGGUGAACCUGCGGAAGGAUCAUUACAGAAUCUCUUCUAAAGUUUUGUUAUGAGUAAUUAUUCUAGCGCUGCUGAAAUAUUGCGUGCGCGGUUGGUUGCUUGUGAUAAUUCUUUGGGAAAACUCUAUACACUUUGUUUUCUUAUUAGAGACAAACUUGCUUUGGUCAGAUGUGCGUAAAACCACGACUGAUCAGAGAUUAAAUAAAACUCAUUUUUGUUUUCGGGCAAAAAACGUGUAUUAUUCAUAGUCAAAACUUGAAGCUAUUCUUUAUUGAAUUGCUGAACUAAACUUAAAACUUUCAACAACGGAUCUCUUGGUUCUCGCAUCGAUGAAGAACGCAGCGAAGUGCGAUAAGUAAUGUGAAUUGCAGAUUUUCGUGAAUCAUCGAAUCUUUGAACGCAUAUUGCGCCCUCUGGUAUUCCGGAGGGCAUGCCUGUUUGAGCGUCAUUUCCUUCUCAUAUCCCUAGGAUGUGGUGAUGAGCGAUACUUUCGUAAGAAAGUUCGUUUGAAAUGAAUUGGCACGAGUCUUUCGACAGAUUGAUGCUAUGUUUUCAAUGUAUUAGGUUUACACCAUCGUUGAUUGUAGUAUUGGGCUGUUGAAGUUAUGGGCUUUGCUUUACAAACUUUACCUUAAAGUUGACCUCAAAUCAGGUAGGAUUACCCGCUGAACUUAAGCAUAUCAAUAAGCGGAGGA